GCAGCCGCGGUAAUACGGAGGAUGCGAGCGUUAUCCGGAUUUAUUGGGUUUAAAGGGUGCGCAGGCGGUGGAAUAAGUCAGCGGUAAAAUUUCGGGGCUCAACCUCGUUUAGCCGUUGAAACUGCUCCACUAGAGUGGACGAGAAGUAUGCGGAAUGCGUAGUGUAGCGGUGAAAUGCAUAGAUAUUACGCAGAACUCCGAUUGCGAAGGCAGCAUACCGGCGUCCAACUGACGCUCAUGCACGAAAGCGUGGGUAUCGAACAGGAUUAGAUACCCC
rnacentral:rRNA from 1 species